GCCGGUGUAACUCAGCCUGGUUCAGAGUGCAACGCUCAUAACGUUGAAGUCGGGCGUUCAAAUCUCCCCACCGGCA
rnacentral:tRNA from 1 species